UCAAGUGCUUCCAGAAAUCGGGAUUUGAAAAUAUUAUAGUCUUUACUGUAAAAUGUAAACAAUAUAGCAGCUAUUACGUUAUAUAAAUAACGUGUCAAACCAAACAUCAAUGACAAGAUAUUUAAAUAAAACCACUGUUGUUGGAGGAGGGAGAAAUAAGUUAGCUAAUCUUACAGGAAACAAUGUUAGCAUAGCUACAUGAAGCUAGCAGGACAAGGGACUGCCGAAACGACAGCCGCCCGCAUGGAUGUAUUUUAGCCGCCGCCAUCACGCCCGCAACAAUUCUGCUUCUGUUUUCUCACUGGGCAGCAGAAACAAAAUAAAAACGGGAACUGUCACAUACUUCUUCCGUCAGGGGUGUAAAUGUGGCACUUAUUAAUUCCCUCCUACACUGACAAACUCGAACGACAUCUUGGAGUGUGCGGAGAGACAAACUGGAUUACAAUUACAACGCGUCUUCGGUCAUCAAUGAACAAUUCAAUAUUGGGAUUGAAUCAUCUCCACUUCCCGUCUCACCCUUAACACCCUAAGCAGAUAGGCUGUCGUUCCUUUCCAGCAGCAGACAGCUGAUUCGGUCAAGGACUUCAGCUUGGAGAGCCAAUUCCUCCAGCAGGUCCCUCCUCGAUGGGCUGAAGUCGGUUGUUCUUAUCAUCUGAGGAAACGCGUAUUUGUUAGAUUUCGACAAGCGAUUUUUGAGGGUGGAGAGAGACAAGGAGCAGCAAGACACAAAAGAUGUAAACACUGAUCCAAAAAACCUGAUUAAUGUGGACAUAGCUCAUAGAAACAUACUGUACCUGGAGCAGGAUGCAACAAAUAUCCAGGUGAGUCUCAAGAGCCUGGUCAACACCCCAAUUCCCAGAAGUCAGGGGGGUUACAACCAACUCCUCCUCUGAAGUUGAUUGGCUGAUUUGGGAGAGGAGGCCGAGACUCUUUACGGUGCUCUGCUGCAAAGAACUGAUGCUAAUGGAUGAAGACGAAAAGGAGAGGCUGCCCAAACAGGAAGUGUCAUCAUCUGCAGUGAAGUCAUGAGAGAGGAAGUCAAAGCUGCCCAGUACUUCCUCCACAGCCAGAGUCUCCUCUGAUGAUGAGCUUCUCAGCAGGGAAAGGUCGUUCUAGAUCUCCAGGGACCCUUCCUCCCCGAGGGACAGCUGAGUCUGGCUUCCUCCCAGACUGGUGCCCUGGCUGUGGCUGGAGGGGUAGCUGUGAGGCCUUAGCGGACUGUGGUUUGAGGUGAUGGCGGUGUGGGACGGGUUGGACAGGUAGCUGAGCAGGGACACGCCGCCUCUGUCAUGUCGACUUUUAGACACCAGCGACGGGAGGGAACCCUCUGGAUCCUGCAGCUCACGCAUCAUCGACUGGAGAGGACAGGAGCAGCAUAUCACUAAUGCUGUGUCGACUAGCCAGACUGUGGAGGAAGGUCUGGCAAUGUGAGACUAGGGAACAGGAGGGGGUGCUCGGUGCCGUCCAGCUGUAAACUGAACUCUUCCUGCUGGACACCGACUGCCUGCUGACAGACAGCGGCCUCACCUUCUCCGUGCUGUCAAACGGACUGCAGUAUACUUGUGGGGUCCAGACAGCUUUGUGGGGCCAAAAUGCUGGACCCCACAACAUUAAAGGGCUGUUUCAGGGUUAAAACUUGGUUUUAGGGUUAGAAUUAGGUUAUGGUUAGGGUGAGGGCAAGGUUUAAGGUUAGGUAUUU